rnacentral:tRNA from 3 species
GCCGAGGUGGCGGAAUGGCAGACGCAGCGGGCUUAAAACCCGCCGCCAGUAAAAUGGCGUGUGGGUUCGAAUCCCACCCUCGGUACCA